CUUUUUUAGAGGUGAUGCUGAUGUGCAAGCAUCUUCACCUUGAGUUCUGCCUUGCCAGAAUGAAUCAAGUUUAUUUUCCCAUCCUGCUCCAUUUGAGGCAAAUUGAACAAGGAUUUGUUUGGCUUCCAAAUGGUUUGUUGGGCCUAAAAUAGUCAGAAUCACAUGACAUCUAUGCUAUAGGUAAUCUGAUCUUCUAACUCAAGUUUGCAUUUAGUUUAGACUUUAGGUUAUGUUAGUCAUAACAAACUUGAAAAGACAUAUUAACAAGGAAAGAUCAUAUUAACAGUUCAUGUUACAUUUGCAGAUAUGUACCUCGGUGGUUUUCUCCACAUUAGGAAAGCUCGAAGAGCCUUUUGAACUCAGUUUUUUUGCUAACAGUGGUGUUAUGGUGAAACAGAGUUUUGUGUGUACGUACCAACAGCUAAAAUGUAAACACGACAUUAUCAUAGUUAAGUACAGGAAUAAUUAUCUCUUAUAUCUUAUUGCAAAAUCUGAAACAGUUCUCCUGUAGAUGGUUAGCUUGCAUUUUACGCUACAAUUACCUCAGAUCACUUGUUGUAUCUUACACCAAUUUAC